GGGGAAUUUUGGACAAUGGGCGCAAGCCUGAUCCAGCCAUGCCGCGUGUCUGAAGAAGGCCUUCGGGUUGUAAAGGACUUUUGUCAGGGAAGAAAAGGCUGUUGCUAAUAUCGACAGCUGAUGACGGUACCUGAAGAAUAAGCACCGGCUAACUACGUGCCAGCAGCCGCGGUAAUACGUAGGGUGCGAGCGUUAAUCGGAAUUACUGGGCGUAAAGCGAGCGCAGACGGUUACUUAAGCAGGAUGUGAAAUCCCCGGGCUCAACCUGGGAACUGCGUUCUGAACUGGGUGACUAGAGUGCGUCAGAGGGAGGUAGAAUUCCACGUGUAGCAGUGAAAUGCGUAGAGAUGUGGAGGAAUACCGAUGGCGAAGGCAGCCUCCUGGGAUAACACUGACGUUCAUGCUCGAAAGCGUGGGUAGCAAACAGGAUUAGAUACCCUGGUAGUCCACGCCCUAAACGAUGUCAAUUAGCUGUUGGGCAACUUGAUUGCUUAGUAGCGUAGCUAACGCGUGAAAUUGACCGCCUGGGGAGUACGGUCGCAAGAUUA
rnacentral:rRNA from 1 species